rnacentral:rRNA from 1 species
UACAGAGGUCUCAAGCGUUGUUCGGAUUCAUUGGGCGUAAAGGGUGUGUAGGUGGCGCCGUAAGUCGGGUGUGAAAUUUCGGAGCUUAACUCCGAAACUGCAUUCGAUACUGCGGUGCUUGAGGACUGGAGAGGAGACUGGAAUUUACGGUGUAGCGGUGAAAUGCGUAGAUAUCGAUAAGGAAGACCAGUAGCGAAGGCGGGUCUCUGGACGAGUUC